ensembl:lncRNA
CCCAUUCUGAUCCAGGUGUUGCAGGAUUAAUUUCCUCCUGCGACGAAAGGGAUUAAAUCUUAACGAUGCCAGAUCUGCGCAGGUCCAAAGGCUGCAGGGCAUUUGACAGAACCCGGCAAAUGUUGCUGAAGUCCGAAAGCCCUCUGCUUUCCACUGUUCAGAAGGUCAUGUUACGCGGCCAUCUGUGUUCCAGGGCACAGGGAGACGUCUCAGGAUCGUCUGCUUUCAGCUUGUUAGAGCGAAGGACGUGCUCAACACAUCCCGAUCCCUCUGGAUUCCCCUAUCUUGAGUAUUAAUCUACCUGUCUGGAUGGUAAUAUCAAGUGAUGGAUGAUAGCCAGCCAAUGCCAAAGUCAGCUCUUUCUGAGGAGGGCUAUCUGGUUCUGACUCACUCAGGCGCAUAUCUGAAUGUCACUGUUUUCAAAGGGGCCUUUUUGUGUUCAUAAAUGUACAUAAGGACAGUUUUUUAAAGUAUUUUUGUUAUUUAUCACUGGGAUGUGCAAAAUGCGGCAAAUGGUUCCUUUCUAAUUUGUUUGAUUAUGUUACAGUUAAAUUUACAAUUAUGCUGAGAACAUUUUCAUGGUUUGUCGUUGUAAAUACAGCUUUCUCUGUUUUGUAUGUUCCUAAUGCAACUGCAAGCAAAGUAAAUGUGUUAUUUUGAACCAAAAGGUCUAAUUAAGGACAGUGCGUUCCCAUAUGCUACAAUAUUGUUGUGGUGUGUUUGCAAAGGUGUUUCUGGGCAGAAGUAUUUACCUACACGGUUAUGAGAAUUAAUGAGCGUCAAUACAAACGGUGCCAGAUAUUCAUUUGACGAGUCGAUUUAGCUGUGUUCACAAACUAUUUGCUGGAUGUAAAGAAACAUUGGCUGAUUUUAUAUUAAACCGAGGAGAGAUCUUAAGAUCGAAAACUUGGCACCUCGACACAAACAUCAGAAAGAAAACUGCCGCAUGUAAACUGUGUUUUAUCGCCAAACCCCCCCUCCCUUCAUUCUCAGUCAGGGACUAAUUCACCUCAUUUGGCCAUUUCACUUGAAAGAGCCUUUGAAGAGCUAGCUUUUGAGCUUGUUUUGACAGAUAUUUAUUAUGUUUCAUUUUCCCCUCUUAUACCUCCGAGUAAUUUUAGCCAGAGAGUACUAAUUAAAUUGACAGAUUUUGGUUCUAUUUAUGGAGAGGAUGAGGAAGAUGACAAUUAUGGUGAUUGUCUUAUAAUUUUCUUCACAGCCGUCCUCGCCGUCGCUGCCGUCGUCGUCGUCAUCAUCAUCAUCAUCAUCAUCUUGGUGGUUAUAGCUACAAAACAGCACGAGCCAGGUGCAAGCAUGCCAGUGAGCUCAAAGUCUGCUGUUCUGCUGACUCCCUCCAUUUGGGCAUUGUUUAGCAUCCAAGCCAUCAAAAGCCAAUCGCUACUAAACUGAAUCCAAUAGCAGGACAUGUAAUUAGUGCAGGCCAGUUGCAGUACAAGCCCCC